CCGACAUUUUCGUUCCUUGUCCCCACUGUUAACCCAUGUCUGGUAUGGCCUUGACCCAGGGUGUGGCCGGUACUGCUGCCCAUGAACCUUCAAGGACACUCUUCCCCAUCCUUCACAGCACUCCCUGGAGUAGGGGACCGGCAGGUGGAAGUGUUGACCUGGAAAUUUUUACUCAGAAUGAACCAUGGGCCUCAACUUGCCCUUGGGUGGAACUGAAGGUCGCGGAGUCUCAACAAUGGAUUGCUGACUGGGAAGCAUCCCCAAACCCUCCUCACUCCCUCCUGCCCCUGCCUGCGGCCCCCUGCGGCCACCGCUAGAGAUCAGACCAAGCACUGUAGGGGACUGCCCUGCACCUCUCAGCCUUUCCAGGAUCAGCCUGGAAAGACCACCCUGUUCAAAGUCAGGGCAGCAAGGGAAUAACCAUGUCUUAUUAGAGCCUCCUAUGCCAGGCACAAGACCAAGGGCAGAAUCAGCCUACUCGCCUUCACGGUCACCCUGUGAGGCACGAUGACGUCACUCUGAGGUGAGGUUUUGUGAAUUGGUUGCUUAAAUUUACAAUGCUAAGUGGCAGCAGCGGGGACAGCUCAGUGUGGCCCACCAGUUGCCCCCAGUACUCUGGCACUCGUCCAUCAACGUGUCAGAGCACUUUUGUGUGCCAGAUACCAAAAUGUUGGGGCCUCAAGGGAGAAAGACAGGCAGCCUCCUGCCCUCAGCAGGGGGCACCUCACCUCCAGCUUGAACACUGCCAGGGUUGAGCCCUUAGCUUUCAAUUCCUUUGUAUCCUGGGGAGAAACUGCUAUUUGUUAAAAUAACCCAGAACUCCAGCGCUGGCACUAGGAAUUGGUACUGGGGAUUUAACCCAGGUGGUGCUUCACUACUGAGCCACAUCCCCAGCCCUUUUUUAAUUUUUGAUACUGGGUCUUGCUAAAUUGCUGAGGCUGGCCUUGAACUUGCCUCAGCCUCCUGAGCCACUGGGAUUACAGGGGUGCACCACCUUGCCCAGCUAGCCCUAGGAAUAUUUCCAUGUCAGAAUGGAUCAGAAGGUCUGAAGUCCUGAUUCCUGCUGAAGCCAUCAGACCCAUUUGGCUGAGGCCCUGCCCUGGAGUUGGACUCCUCAGAUCUUGCAUUCCGGAGCCCAGCUCAGCGCCUCCCAUGCCUCUGCUGGGGCUGACUCUGGGAGAAGCACCCAUGCUGUUGAAUAGCACAGUGCCUGGAAGAAGGUCAGUGCCACAUGAGUGUCAGCUAAGAUUGACAUUGCUAAGUCACUAAACUAGCUCUGGGUCUGGCUUCUAAGGCAGAAUUUUCUCAGCCACCACU
rnacentral:lncRNA from 1 species